AUACAGCAAUUUUCGUCCAAGCACAAACCGCAAACAUUUUCGCGCGUUUGUUUACGUUUGAAACGUGGCGUUUACCGUUGGAAACGGACAUGUUUCACUGCUCAUGCGACGUGUUAUAGUGAAAAGCCUAAUUCAGUUAUUUUUCAUGUUUUGAUGUGCUUUCGUGUACUUUUCAGUGUUUCCAAGCUCACGAUAUUGUAAGAGCGACCAAACUUGUUUAUAUUCAUACUUUUUGUGACUAAAACGUAUUAUCAUGGGCUUGGAAAUAUUGAAACGUGCACGGAAGUACAUCAAAACAUGAUAGUUGUG